rnacentral:rRNA from 1 species
AUUGAACGCGGGCGGCAUGCUUUACACUGCAAGUCGGACGGCAGCAUAAAAGAGCUUGCUCUUUUGAUGGCGAGUGGCGAACGGGUGAGUAAUGCAUCGGAACGUACCGAGUAGUGGGGGAUAACUGUCCGAAAGGAUGGCUAAUACCGCAUAUUCUCUGAGGAGGAAAGCAGGGGACCUUAGGGCCUUGCGCUAUUUGAGCGGCCGAUGUCUGAUUAGCUAGUUGGUGGGGUAAGAGCCCACCAAGGCGACGAUCAGUAGCGGGUCUGAGAGGAUGAUCCGCCACACUGGGACUGAGACACGGCCCAGACUCCUACGGGAGGCAGCAGUGGGGAAUUUUGGACAAUGGGCGCAAGCCUGAUCCAGCCAUGCCGCGUGUAUGAAGAAGGCCUUCGGGUUGUAAAGUACUUUUGUCAGGGAAGAAAAGCCUGAGGAUAACACCCUCAGGUCAUGACGGUACCUGAAGAAUAAGCACCGGCUAACUACGUGCCAGCAGCCGCGGUAAUACGUAGGGUGCGAGCGUUAAUCGGAAUUACUGGGCGUAAAGCGAGCGCAGACGGUUAUUUAAGCAAGAUGUGAAAGCCCCGGGCUCAACCUGGGAACUGCGUUUUGAACUGGGUAACUAGAGUGUGUCAGAGGGGGGUAGAAUUCCACGUGUAGCAGUGAAAUGCGUAGAGAUGUGGAGGAAUACCGAUGGCGAAGGCAGCCCCCUGGGAUAACACUGACGUUCAUGCUCGAAAGCGUGGGUAGCAAACAGG